UGGGGAAUAUUGCACAAUGGGCGCAAGCCUGAUGCAGCCAUGCCGCGUGUAUGAAGAAGGCCUUCGGGUUGUAAAGUACUUUCAGUCGGGAGGAAGGUGGUAAGGUUAAUAACCUUGGCAAUUGACGUUACCGACAGAAGAAGCACCGGCUAACUCCGUGCCAGCAGCCGCGGUAAUACGGAGGGUGCAAGCGUUAAUCGGAAUUACUGGGCGUAAAGCGCACGCAGGCGGUUGAUUGAGUCAGAUGUGAAAUCCCCGGGCUUAACCCGGGAAUUGCAUCUGAUACUGGUCAGCUAGAGUCUUGUAGAGGGGGGUGGAAUUCCAUGUGUAGCGGUGAAAUGCGUAGAGAUGUGGAGGAAUACCGGUGGCGAAGGCGGCCCCCUGGACAAAGACUGACGCUCAGGUGCGAAAGCGUGGGGAGCAAACAGG
rnacentral:rRNA from 1 species